rnacentral:rRNA from 1 species
CCUACGGGAGGCUGCAGUGGGGAAUAUUGGGCAAUGGGCGAAAGCCUGACCCAGCAACGCCGCGUGAAGGAAGAAGGCUUUCGGGUUGUAAACUUCUUUUGACGGGGAAGAGCAGAAGACGGUACCUGUCGAAUAAGCCACGGCUGACUACGUGCCAGCAGCCGCGGUAAUACGUAGGUGGCCAGCGUUGUCCGGAUUUACUGGGGGUAAAGGGCGUGUAGCCGGGAUGACAAGGCAGAUGUGAAAUCCGGGGGCUCAACCCCCGAAAUGCAUUUGAAACUGUUGGGCUUGAGUAUCGGAGAGGCAGGCGGAAUUCCUAGUGUAGCGGUGAAAUGCGUAGAUAUUAGGAGGAACACCAGUGGCGAAGGCGGCCUGCUGGACGACAACUGACGGUGAGGCGCGAAAGCGUGGGGAGCAAACAGGAUUAGAUACCCUAGUAGUC